AAGAGCAGUGUUGAACUACUGUGCUUUCAGUGCGGUGCUUCGAUGGUAGGUGCUGCGUUAUAAAUAAAAGUACGCUAAUAUUGUGCGCUGAGAUUUUUCGUCGUUCACUAGAAUUUUGAGAUUUGAAAACACUAUAAUAAAAACUCCGAUUCAUUUUCAAAAAACUAUCACGUCAAAUCCCAGUGGCCACAAGACGUCACUUCAAAUUUGUUUACUCCAAAAUAAGAGUGUAGAAAUCAGGGGAUAUGCGUGGAGGUGUCCAGCUGACCAUAGCUGCAACAGUAUUGGUGCUGGUUGUGUGUUGUACGAGCAGUCUACACGGCCUGCGAUGCGAUCUCUCGCCCGAUGGAGUCAGCACGCCAAAGACUAUGGCUGACGGCCGCUUCCAACUCACCAUCAGUGGCGACAUUGAACGCUACAAUCCUGACGUCAGUUACACAGUAAGCAUCCAAGGAAUGCGUGAUGGUCCGUCAUCCAAUGUGCCCAAGUUCAUUGGUUUCAAACUGAUAGCUGAAGCACAGGUUCCAAUGUGGAUGUCAUUCUCAGAAAUUGAAAAUAGGCCUGUCGGAGUUUUCUCCUUGUAUGGGGAUGCAUUGACGAAGUUCAGUGACAGUUGUCCUAAUAUGGUGACACAGACAUCGUUCACAUCAAAGACCGAAAUAUCAGUCAUAUGGAAAGCACCACCAUCAGGCAGUGGGUGCUUGACAAUAAGAGCAACAGUGAUUGAGCACAGAGAUACAUGGUAUCAAGAUGAGAGACUGCUCUCGCGCACUCUCUGUGAAAACGUUGAAGACAGCUUUGAUAGCGCGCCACCAUUCAUCAGAGAGUGUUGCUCCUGCAAUGAAGCCAAGUAUGAGGUAACAUUUGAAGGGCUGUGGUCGAGGCACACACAUCCGAAAGAUUUCCCUACGAAUAGUUGGUUGACAAGAUUCAGUGACGUUAUUGGUGCUUCACAUACUUCUAAUUACAGUUUCUGGGAGUAUGGAGGACUGGCAUCAGGAGGUCUCCGCCAGGUUGCCUUGAAUGGAGCAACCAAACAGCUUGAAGCUGAACUCAAGCAAGAGAGUCAAAACAUACGCACAAUUAUCAAAGCAAGAGGUAUAAGCUAUCCGAAUGUAACUGGGAAAACAUUUGCAGUAUUCAGAGUGGACAAGAAGCAUCAUCUUAUCUCUCUGGUUUCAAUGAUUGAUCCCUCGCCGGACUGGGUAGUUGGAGUAUCAAAACUAGAACUGUGCUUGGAGAAUUGCAGUUGGGUCGAAAACAAAGUUCUGAAUUUAUAUCCUUGGGAUACUGGGAUAGACAGUGGUAUAACUUAUACAUCACCGACGCAGCCAACUGUACCACAAGAACCAAUCAGACGGAUCAAUUCAUCGUAUCCAGCUGAUCACAAAUCUCCAUUUUUCGAUCCUUCAGGUGAAGAGAUGAAGCCAAUGGCUAAACUGUAUUUGAAUAGACAAAGAAUUUAUGAGAGAAGCUGCACUGAUUCAGAAGAACUUUCCGAACCUGAUGAUGCUUGUGAAGUGUUGAGACAAUGGUCCGAUUGGGGCAUAUGCAUCCCUACAGAGAGCUGCGGCAUUGGCUUUCAGACCAGACAGAGAGAGUACAAAGAGCCUGAGAAAGCUGGUUCAUUACUAUGCAGUGAACAGGUGACCCAACGCAAAAACUGCACCAUACCAAAUGCAAACUGUGGACCAGACAUAAGGUAUUUGAGCAGAGUUCUGCCUGAAUGUGAGCAGGCCGAGUGGAGUGAUUGGUCAACCUGUUCAGCCACUUGUGGGCGUGGCAAUAAAGUGCGGCAGAAGAUUUUCAAAGAUGAAUUUGAAAAAGAGUGCCGUUUCAACGUUGAAUUUCAAGAAACUCGUGAAUGCGAUGAGCCACUUGAUGAUUGCAGUCAAACAUAUCCAGAAGGCUCGCUUGCGGACAGUGACAAAUGUCCUUGGAGCCACUGGUCGCCCUGCAUGGCCAGCUGCAACAAGGGCAAGCAGAUCCGCACCCGAUUUGCACUGCCGCACUAUGUCGCCGACGACCCGUGCACGGGACUCGUCAUGACGGAGGAGGUCGAGUGUGACACCGGCAGGAGUUGCGACAUCUCCACUGAGCAAGCCUACGAGAUUUGCCAGCUUUCCAAAGAUGUGGGACCAUGCAGAGGUUACUACAAGCGCUGGUUCUUCGACACUCUCACUCAAUACUGUCAAGAAUUCAUUUACACAGGUUGUAGAGGAAAUAAAAAUCGAUUCAUGACACAAAAUGAAUGUGAACACACCUGCAGAAAAUUCAAAGAUGCAUGUAUCUCCAUCAAUAAUGAGUCAUGUGUUUGAUUGACUGUGUGCAUGUCUGAACUGAUCAAACAGCGGAACUGAUUGCUAACAGAACUGCCAUGUUGAAACAGUAUGGAGUUUCAUUAUCUGGAGCAAUUUCAUACAAUGUUGAACUGCAAGAUACUAACUGUGAAUACUCAACACCACCAGGGAUUCCCUCUAGAUCACAAAUAAAGGCAACAUCAGAGAGUCCGGAUUCAGAUAAUCAGGACGUCCAGGAGGGCGAGCAGUGCGAGUACUCGAAAUGGGGCAAAUGGUCUCAGUGCUCGAAAAAGUGUGGUCGAGGCGAGCGCGAGAGAUUUCGAACUGUCAAGGUCAAGCCGAAAACAGGUGAAAGCUGUCCAGAAAUUCAACAGAAGAAAAAGUGUAGAGGAAAACAAUGUGGCAACCCGGAACUGUGCAAGUACUCGAACUGGAGCGUGUGGUCGCCAUGCUCGGCAACGUGUGGUCACGGCGCAACCCGUCAGCGCACCCGUCACGUCAUCCCCGUCAAGCAUUUCAACACUGACGUCUGCAUCGACCGAGUCGAGAAGCAGCAAUGCAUUGUGCUCCCUUGCUUUUAGGUUAAACUUACCAUCUAUUAAUAUGUAUGUAUACUUUUCUAUUACCGAUUAAUAAUUUAUUGUCUAAUAUACACAAUUCUGAUAAUAACCUUGUAAAAACUUAGAACGCUUGUAACUUUAUGAUUUUUACGUGGAAGUAAUGGAUAUGAUUUGUUUCUUUCAAUAAUGUAUACUUAGGGUGGCAUUAAUUUCAUCACGGAUUUUAGUUUAUCACAAAUCAGCUGUUUAAGAGGGUCUUAAGGCCCAUUUCACAACAAAGCUGGGCCGAGCGGAAUCGGCUGGAGGCGGAUCGACUUAGCGAAAUCUGCCUGCGUUCGCACUGAAGCCAAUUCACUCAGUAGGUUUUCUAGCCUUGUAGUUAGAACUCACUAUGUGGGAAGAUCGAACUAAACUGAAAGAAUCCGCUUGGCCGAAAAUGCUCGAGUUGGGCGUCAAGCUGACUGCACAAAUCCGCUCGGCUCGGCCCGGCGUUGAUUUGAAUGCUCCUGACUAAAUCCUGCAUAGUUGACGCGCACGCGGAUUCCGCUCGGCUCGGCCCAGCUUUGGUGUGAAACCCCACUAAGUUUGUCAAGUUCCCGUUGCUUUUAGAAAGUCCAGUGGAUACAGUAUCAUAUAUUCAAAUGAUACUUAUAAUAAUAUAUUUCUAAUAAUACCAGCAUAUUGCCAUUAAAAAGCAAAACUUAAACCUCCAACCUACCCUAUUAUCUUUGAAACUAAUUAAAAAUAACUUGUCAGGUUAUGUCGUGUUUCGAUGAACUGAACGUCUCAACUUCCAAUUUAUUUUCACGGAAUGGUCAAAAUAGGCAUGUGAAGAUAUGAGAUCCUCCAGUACACAGCAGUUAGUACUGAACAUUAUCGAAUAUCAAAAUUAUUCCAACUAUAUUGAAUUGUUUUUUUGCUUUUCGAUGUCCACUUUAAGCUUUCGAUUGUGAGUGAGUGUUGAGAUGAGAACUAGCCGACUGUAGUGUUGAUACUAUGAUAGUGUUGUAUCAACACUCCAAUGGGCCAUGGAUGAGAUGAUCAAAUAUCCAUGUACCCGGGUUGAAUCACGACCAGUUACAUAAAAGCAGGCUGAAGUUCCGAAUCCUCAGACCACUCAGCCACGUUGCGUUAUAGUUCUGACUCAAUUCCAUCAUUCACACAUUUAUUCAUAAUACCUACAUUUAUACUAUUCUUCUUAAUUUUAUGUAAAAUAGCCUAUCUUUGGUAAAUCUAAUUUUCACUUACAGUCAUAAAGUGUAAGUAAGUUGAGAGUUAACAGCUCAAAUAAUUCAGUAUUACAAAAAUUAAAAGCACAUAAUUUUAGUUCGAUAGAUGUUAGAUUAGUAAUUUAUAAUGUAUAAAUUGGUGUUUUAGUAGAGUAAGAUUUGCAUAUUCAAUGUGGAAAUUAAAUCAAUAGCGUGUCAAUUCAAAA